UGGCGGACGGGUGAGUAAGUCUGGGAAACUGCCCGAUGGAGGGGGAUAACUACUGGAAACGGUAGCUAAUACCGCAUAACGUCGCAAGACCAAAGAGGGGGACCUUCGGGCCUCUUGCCAUCGGAUGUGCCCAGAUGGGAUUAGCUAGUAGGUGGGGUAACGGCUCACCUAGGCGACGAUCCCUAGCUGGUCUGAGAGGAUGACCAGCCACACUGGAACUGAGACACGGUCCAG
rnacentral:rRNA from 1 species